rnacentral:rRNA from 1 species
GAGCGGAAACGAUCCUAGCUUGCUAGGAGGCGUCGAGCGGCGGACGGGUGAGUAACACGUGAGAAUCUGCCCAUUAGAGGGGGAUAACCUGGGGAAACCCAGGCUAAUACCGCAUAAUCCCUACGGGGGAAAGCAGGGGAUCUUCGGACCUUGUGCUGAUGGAUGAGCUCGCGUCGGAUUAGCUUGUUGGUGAGGUAAUGGCUCACCAAGGCGACGAUCCGUAGCUGGUCUUAGAGGAUGAUCAGCCACACCGGGACUGAGACACGGCCCGGACUCCUACGGGAGGCAGCAGUGGGGAAUCUUGGACAAUGGGGGCAACCCUGAUCCAGCCAUGCCGCGUGUGUGAAGAAGGCCUUCGGGUUGUAAAGCACUUUCAGUAGGGAGGAAGGCUUAUCCUUAAUACGGAUGAGUACUUGACGUUACCUACAGAAGAAGCACCGGCUAAUUUCGUGCCAGCAGCCGCGGUAAUACGAAAGGUGCGAGCGUUAAUCGGAAUUACUGGGCGUAAAGCGCGCGUAGGCGGUUUGCUAAGUCAGAUGUGAAAGCCCCGGGCUCAACCUGGGAACUGCAUUUGAAACUGGCAGGCUAGAAUGCAGUAGAGGGAGGUGGAAUUUCCGGUGUAGCGGUGAAAUGCGUAGAGAUCGGAAGGAACACCAGUGG